rnacentral:lncRNA from 1 species
UUUUGUUUAUGAUCAUAUUGGUCUUUUUGGUUGUGUCUCCUCAAUUUGGAACUGCGUGCAGGCCUUUAUUAUUAAAGGACGAACUGUUGCUGAAACUUCCAAAAGGCUCUCCGGUUGUAUCAAGUCCUGAUCCAAUUCAUACGUGAAAUGAAUGAACAACACAAGCCUACAAGCGUCGUCCAUGCACAGAUAAUUCACUUUUUCGCCUUGUCCAAGAAUUAAUUCACUUUUUC